UGUAUCCUCAUACACUGUAUACAUGGCGGA
rnacentral:piRNA from 1 species